rnacentral:rRNA from 1 species
CCUACGGGUGGCUGCAGUGGGGAAUUUUGGACAAUGGGGGCAACCCUGAUCCAGCCAUGCCGCGUGAGUGAAGAAGGCCUUCGGGUUGUAAAGCUCUUUCGGACGGAACGAAAUCGCACGGGUGAACAUCCUGUGUGGAUGACGGUACUGUAAGAAGAAGCACCGGCUAACUACGUGCCAGCAGCCGCGGUAAUACGUAGGGUGCGAGCGUUAAUCGGAAUUACUGGGCGUAAAGCGUGCGCAGGCGGUUUUGCAAGCCGGAUGUGAAAGCCCCG